rnacentral:rRNA from 1 species
GAUGAACGCUGGCGGCGUGCCUAAUACAUGCAAGUCGAGCGAACAGACGAGGAGCUUGCUCCUCUGACGUUAGCGGCGGACGGGUGAGUAACACGUGGAUAACCUACCUAUAAGACUGGGAUAACUUCGGGAAACCGGAGCUAAUACCGGAUAAUAUAUUGAACCGCAUGGUUCAAUAGUGAAAGACGGUUUUGCUGUCACUUAUAGAUGGAUCCGCGCCGCAUUAGCUAGUUGGUAAGGUAACGGCUUACCAAGGCGACGAUGCGUAGCCGACGGGAGAGGAGGAUAGGCGACAAUGGAAAGGAAACACGGUACAGACGCCGAAGGGAGGAGGCAGUAGGGAAGAUGCGGCAAUGGGGGCAAGCCGGAUCCAGCAGUACCGAGGGGGAGAAGAAGGCGUGAGGGUUGUAAAGCCCUUUUGUUGGGAAAGAAAAGCAGCAGGGUAAUACCCCGAGGUUGUGACGGUACCCAAAGAAUAAGCACCGGCUAACUUCGUG